GAUGAACGCUGGCGGCGUGCCUAAUACAUGCCAGUCGAGCGAACAGACGAGGAGCUUGCUCCUCUGACGUUAGCGGCGGACGGGUGAGUAACACGUGGAUAACCUACCUAUAAGACUGGGAUAACUUCGGGAAACCGGAGCUAAUACCGGAUAAUAUAUUGAACCGCAUGGUUCAAUAGUGAAAGACGGUUUUGCUGUCACUUAUAGAUGGAUCCGCGCCGCAUUAGCUAGUUGGUAAGGUAACGGCUUACCAAGGCAACGAUGCGUAGCCGACCUGAGAGGGUGAUCGGCCACACUGGAACUGAGACACGGUCCAGACUCCUACGGGAGGCAGCAGUAGCGAAUCUUCCGCAAUGGGCGAAAGCUUGACGGAGCAACGCCGCGUGAGUGAUGAAGGUCUUCGGAUCGUAAAACUCUGUUAUUAGGGAAGAACAAAUGUGUAAGUAACUAUGCACGUCUUGACGGUACCUAAUCAGAAAGCCACGGCUAACUACGUG
rnacentral:rRNA from 1 species